rnacentral:rRNA from 1 species
UACGUAGGGUGCAAGCGUUGUCCGGAAUUAUUGGGCGUAAAGAGCUCGUAGGCGGUCUGUCGCGUCGGAUGUGAAAACUCAGGGCUUAACCCUGAGCUUGCAGUGGGUACGGGCAGACUAGAGUGCGGUAGGGGGAGACUGGAAUUCCUGGUGUAGCGGUGAAAUGCGCAGAUAUCAGGAGGAACACCGGUGGCGAAGGCGGGUCUCUGGGCCGAUACUGACGCUGAGGAGCGAAAGCGUGGGGAGCAAACAGG